rnacentral:lncRNA from 10 species
CCGGGCCCCGCCUCCAUUGAGCCCCAGAAAGCUCGCAGUCGAACCCCGACCCACCGCCACGCCCCCUUUCUGGAAAGGAUCCGCGGCGGCUGCAGCUGCCAAGGCAGCGCAGCCGGACCUCCCUGCCCGGGCGCCCCCCGGGUCCUAGCACCCAGCGCUCGCCUAGCGCUUUGUGUAAAAGAUCCAGACGGUUGCAUCAGGACCGAGGACCGAGAUCUCUGGAAAAGCCAGGGAGUGCAAUGGCCAUCCCGUGUUUCAUCAUUCAGGCGGGGCCACAGGAAAUCUGGCCUGGCAGCAGUGCUCAGAGGCUAACAGUGGUUGCUGAGGGUGGGUGGAGGUUGAGACGGACUCGACCUUUAUUGCUCUAAAGGUUUAUCAGUCUGGGACAGGAGGACCCUGAUGGAAGAGGGAGCCAAACUUACAUCAGAUGCCCAGGGCCCCGGGGGCGGGCAAGGAACCUAACCAGAUAGGCGGGCCUUGCCUCGGGUGGGAGACCCACUUAUGGAGACAAAUUUAUGGAUUAAAAAAAGAAAUCAGGGGAUCCAGGAGACAUCUUAAAGACAGCUGCAGAAUGGAAUAGUUUGUGAGCCACUGGGACUUUCAAGGCCUUCUCUUCCCAUUCUUCAAGCUCUGUCGCUUGUUGGAGCCUUAAAGACACCAGAUUGCUUAACAAUGGGGAUAUAAAAAUUAAAAAUAAUAAAAGACACUGGAUCAAGGCGGCUAGUUGUUCUUGGAGGGCUGGAGUAGAUGACAUACUCUUGAAAUCACUCUUACAGAGGUGACCUGCAUGGGUGUGUCUUCCUGCUGGCCAGAGAGAAGAUCUGAAUUAAUCCAUCAGGAACAUUCACAUUUCCUCCAGGCUGAUUUGGGCGGGACACCUAAACACCCUAAGGAAACAAGAGUUACGAUGUUUUUUCUUCUUCUUCUUCUUUUUUUUUUUUUUUUUGAGAUGGGGUCUCACUCUUUCACCCAGGCUGGAGUGCAGUGGUGCGAUCUUGGCUCACUGCAAGCUCCGCCUCCCGGGUUCACAC